rnacentral:rRNA from 1 species
GAAUGCUAAAAGAAUGGAAAUUUAAAAAAAAACUUUUUUAAAAAUAAAAAUUGAAUUUUUUUUAAUUUGUGCAAAAACAAUUAUAUUUAUUAAAGACAAGAAGACCCUAAGAAUUUAAGAUUUUACAAUUAAAAAGUUUUUUUUUAAAAUCUUGAUUGGGGCGAUCAAAAAAUAUUAAUAACUUUUUAAAAUUUAAAUUGAUCUAUUAUUAAUAAACUAAUGAAUUAAAUACUCUAGGGAUAACAGCGUAAUAAUUUUUGAUAGAUCUUAUUGACAAAAUAGUUUGCGACCUCGAUGUUGGAUUAGGAUUCUUUUUUAAUGAAGAAGUUAAAAAA